UACGUAGAAGACUAGUGUUAUUCAUCUUUAAUAGGUUUAAAGGGUACCUAGACGGUAUAAUUAGUCUAAAAUAAGAUACGGUUAUACUAGAGUUAUAUAUGAGGAGGUGAGUAUUUAUGGAGUAGAGUUGAAAUUCGAUCAUCCCAUGACGACUGGUAUCGGCGAAAGCAACCUUUUAUCUAAUAACUGACGUUGAGGGACGAAGGCUUGGGUAGCAAUAAGG
rnacentral:rRNA from 1 species